GGAUCAAUUUGCUGGUUGUGCCUCUGGUACGUACUGGUAUUAUUGGUUUCUCCCUUCUGACGAACCAUGAUGUCAUUAAUUUGAUGUCGUGGAGAAUCAGGACUGUUACUUUGAAAAAGUUAGAGUGUUUAAAGCAGGCUCACGCUUGAAUACAUUAGCAUGGAAUAACGAAAUAGGACGUUUGAUUCUAUUUUGUUGGUUUCUAGGAUCGACGUA
rnacentral:rRNA from 1 species